CGUAGGAGGCGAGCGUUGUCCGGAAUUACUGGGCGUAAAGAGCGUGUAGGCGGCCAUACAGGUCAGCUGUGAAAACUCGAGGCUCAACCUCGAGACGUCGGUUGAAACCGUAUGGCUAGAGUCCGGAAGAGGAGAGUGGAAUUCCCGGUGUAGCGGUGAAAUGCGCAGAUAUCGGGAAGAACACCCGUGGCGAAGGCGGCUCUCUGGGACGGUACUGACGCUGAGACGCGAAAGCGUGGGGAGCGAACAGG
rnacentral:rRNA from 1 species